ACGAACGCUGGCGGCGUGCCUAAUACAUGCAAGUCGAACGGUCUUUCUAUGGAAGCUUGCUUCCACUGAGAAGAUAGUGGCGAACGGGUGAGUAACACGUGGGUAACCUGCCCAUAAGAGGGGGAUAACAUCCGGAAACGGGUGCUAAUACCGCAUAGUUUUCUUGAUCGCAUGAUCGGGAAAGGAAAGACGGCCUUUGUGCUGUCGCUUAUGGAUGGACCCGCGGCGUAUUAGUUAGUUGGUGAGGUAACGGCUCACCAAGACGAUGAUACGUAGCCGACCUGAGAGGGUGAUCGGCCACAUUGGGACUGAGACACGGCCCAAACUCCUACGGGAGGCAGCAGUAGGGAAUCUUCCGCAAUGGACGAAAGUCUGACGGAGCAACGCCGCGUGAGUGAAAGAAGGUUUUCGGAUCGUAAAACUCUGUUGUCAGAGAAGAACAAGUUGGAGAGUAACUGCUCCAGCCUUGACGGUAUCUGACCAGAAAGCCACGGCUAACUACGUGCCAGCCGCGGC
rnacentral:rRNA from 1 species